rnacentral:rRNA from 1 species
UACGGAGGGGGCUAGCGUUGUUCGGAAUUACUGGGCGUAAGGCGCGCGUAGGCGGCUUUGUAAGUUAGAGGUGAAAGCCCGGAGCUCAACUCCGGAACUGCCUUUAAGACUGCAUCGCUAGAAUUGUGGAGAGGUGAGUGGAAUUCCGAGUGUAGAGGUGAAAUUCGUAGAUAUUGGGAAGAACACCGGUGGCGAAGGCGGCCAUCUGGACUGCAACUGACGCUGAGGCGCGAAAGCGUGGGGAGCAAACAGG